AGCAGCCGCGGUAAUUCCAGCUCCAAUAGCGUAUAUUAAAGUUGUUGCAGUUAAAAGCUCGUAGUUGAAUUUCGAGACCGGCUUACUGGUCGUGCUAUUGUACGUACUGGUAUAAUCGGUUUCUCCUUUCUGACGAACUAUAAUGCCAUUAAUUUGGUGUUAUAGGGAAUCAGGACUGUUACUUUGAAAAAAUUAGAGUGUUUAAAGCAGGCUCACGCUUGAAUACAUUAGCAUGGAAUAACGGAAUAGGACGUUUGAUUCUAUUUUGUUGGUUUCUAGGAUCGACGUAAUGAUUAAUAGGGAUAGUUGGGGGCAUUAGUAUUCAAUUGUCAGAGGUGAAAUUCUUGGAUUUAUUGAAGACUAACUACUGCGAAAGCAUUUGCCAAGGAUGUUUUCAUUAAUCAAGAACGAAAGUUAGGGGAUCGAAGACGAUCAGAUACCGUCGUAGUCUUAACCAUAAACUAUGCCGACUAGGGAUCGGAUGAUGUUAAUUUU
rnacentral:rRNA from 1 species